AACUCUCAACCCCCUCAUUUUGUAAUGAAGUGUAGCGUGGGCUUGGAUUAUGGCUGUCUGUCGGCUUAACCGCCGGCUCAGCUGAAAUACACGAGCAACCCAGUUUAAAACCCUGACGGCUUGACUCGGCGUAAUAAUUAUUUCGCUGAGGACGUCUAACCUUUAAAUCGUUAGUGGUGCUUCUAAUGCAUUAUUCAUUUAAGC
rnacentral:misc_RNA from 3 species